rnacentral:rRNA from 1 species
GUACACAAAAAUGCACAUAUUGUGAGCUCGAUGAGUAGGGCGGGACACGUGGUAUCCUGUCUGAAUAUGGGGGGACCAUCCUCCAAGGCUAAAUACUCCUGACUGACCGAUAGUGAACCAGUACCGUGAGGGAAAGGCGAAAAGAACCCCGGCGAGGGGAGUGAAAAAGAACCUGAAACCGUGUACGUACAAGCAGUGGGAGCCUCUUUAUGGGGUGACUGCGUACCUUUUGUAUAAUGGGUCAGCGACUUAUAUUCUGUAGCAAGGUUAACCGAAUAGGGGAGCCGAAGGGAAACCGAGUCUUAACUGGGCGUUAAGUUGCAGGGUAUAGACCCGAAACCCGGUGAUCUAGCCAUGGGCAGGUUGAAGGUUGGGUAACACUAACUGGAGGACCGAACCGACUAAUGUUGAAAAAUUAGCGGAUGACUUGUGGCUGGGGGUGAAAGGCCAAUCAAACCGGGAGAUAGCUGGUUCUCCCCGAAAGCUAUUUAGGUAGCGCCUCGUGAAUUCAUCUCCGGGGGUAGAGCACUGUUUCGGCAAGGGGGUCAUCCCGACUUACCAACCCGAUGCAAACUGCGAAUACCGGAGAAUGUUAUCACGGGAGACACACGGCGGGUGCUAACGUCCGUCGUGAAGAGGGAAACAACCCAGACCGCCAGCUAAGGUCCCAAAGUCAUGGUUAAGUGGGAAACGAUGUGGGAAGGCCCAGACAGCCAGGAUGUUGGCUUAGAAGCAGCCAUCAUUUAAAGAAAGCGUAAUAGCUCACUGGUCGAGUCGGCCUGCGCGGAAGAUGUAACGGGGCUAAACCAUGCACCGAAGCUGCGGCAGCGACACUA